UCUGUCAAAAAAAAACUGCUGCUUCCACCUCCCACAACCCCGCAUCCUCUUCCUCCAGGCCCGUCGCUCCCGUCUAUUCCGCACUUCCGAUCCAGAUCACAGGUACGCCAUUCUCCAUCGAGUCGUCGACAAGCCCACCUCCCUGCCGUUCUCUGCGGUACACUUCUUCCGCCCUAAUCCCAGGUAAAGAUCUUGCCCAGAUUAUGCUCAUUCAUCGCCACGCUGCUGCGCCGUCGCCGAUCUAGCACUCUGUGUUGGCCUUCAACAACCGCACACCAGGACAAGGGGAGGCUCACCAGCGGCGGCGAAGGUUGCUGCUGUAGGUUCCUGGAUGUCUUCUUUCAUCACAACGACAACAAGACCCUCGUUACUCUCACAUGGAAGGUAGCAAGGUAUCUAACUCCUGUCGAGCUUGUACUGAGGCAUUUUGUUCCUCUUGGUUUAGUCAUGCUUCUUCAUUUCCAGCACAAUGGCCACUGAAAUGCAGCCUCUAGGCACCGUUGUUUGUUGGCGGUUGCCUUGUUGACGACGAAGAAUUCGCGGCACAUGUAGAGUUCACGCAUGAUUGGCUAGUUCAAAGCGCAGUGAUGCUGGCUAUGCAGAAGUGAAAUUAUUGUUGUUUAGGAGUAAAAGUGCAUAUUGUUCUUAUCGAUUAAAUUUGUGCAUGUGUGUAUUCUUGUUAUGCUUCUGUACAAUUUAUUUCGCAAAAAGUAAAUGUUUCCAU